UCGUUAAACGGUUUGGGCCAACGAUCAAAAAUGGCGCUUCCCCUUUACCUCAGUAAUGUCUUUGCUGUAGUUCCUCCGCUUGCAAACCCUAAUUCCCAAACCCUCAGAUUCCCCUCCAAUCCAACGUGUAAACCCCUCUUCUGCACUUCCACCACAAAGACGCACCGCCAGCGUCGGAGACUCUCCUUUAUACUUAAUCAAUCAGACAAUGACUCCGAGCAUCGUAAGCUACAGGAAAAAGAGGUGAACAAUCCAGGGGUUAAAGCAGCAUUAUCUAUGCUCAGAUUCUACAAAAGGGAGAUCUCGCCAUUGCUGCCGAAUAGUUGUCGAUAUGUUCCAACAUGUAGUGAGUAUUCCAUGAUUGCCUAUCAGAAGUAUGGAGUCGUCAAGGGGACCAUCUUGACUGCUUGGCGUCUGUGUCGCUGCAAUCCUCUCGGUGGGUCUGGAUUUGAUCCUCCAAGAUGGUUUGGUGAGGAAAGCACACUAGAUCAGUCAGACGAUUACUAGCCAGAAAUCCAAAGAAUCCAAACUAAAACUGGCAAUAGUUGUCAAAGAUGCACCUAAGGCACGCCUAAGCUUGAGGCUUAGUUGAGAGCGCCUUGCUCUAUGAGGCACGUCUUGCUCUAAGAUCUAAAAUCACAUCAAUUGGUGAUUUUGUAUAUAAAUCAAGCUGACAGUCGAGUGACAGCAAUCUGAGUGCCUAGAGAUGUUCAUGCAGCACUCAUGAGAUGAAAGACACAAUGAGGUGAACACAAGGUUCCUUUGCAGCUUGUCUUGGAACCAUAUGCUGAGAUGGUAUGCAUCUAGUUUCUAUUAAAGUCAAGAUAGCUGAGCAUAACUCGAGCGUGGAUCUGGAUUCUGGCCAAUCGGCAUUCUUGUCAGCUUCAAAGGCAGAUCUUUAAUUGGGAGUUGUUCAACAAUCUUUCCGUUGUGUGGUGGCUGUGGACUUCAACUUCCAAACACAGCCUGGUUUUUUAAGCAACCCCAUGUUAAUUAAGGUAAGGACCACUUACCAUACAUAGGAAGAUGUAUUAAUAAUAAGUAAUUGCCAUGAUGUAAUGAAAUGUCCACCCAGGAUUUAUAGUAUUUUAGACAGCUGGGUCGAAGCUUUUUCCUUAUUCUAUUUCAGAUUUAAAAUGCUCUCUUUAUUUUUACUUGA